rnacentral:rRNA from 1 species
UACGAAGGGGGCUAGCGUUGCUCGGAAUCACUGGGCGUAAAGGGUGCGUAGGCGGGUCUUUUAAGUCAGGGGUGAAAUCCUGGAGCUCAACUCCAGAACUGCCUUUGAUACUGAAGAUCUUGAGUUCGGGAGAGGUGAGUGGAACUGCGAGUGUAGCGGUGAAAUUCGUAGAUAUUCGCAAGAACACCAGUGGCGAAGGCGGCUCACUGGCCCGAUACUGACGCUGAGGCACGAAAGCGUGGGGAGCAAACAGG